AGCUGAAAUCUGAAAACUGGGUAAAAGUGGCAGCCCGCCGGGCUGCUCAGCCCUGGGGCCAAACCCCCACUCAGGCAGUCGACGGCCAGAGUGGGUGAAAGUGGCAGCCCGGCGCGCUGCUCAGCCCUGGGGGCCCUCCCCACCCACUCAGCUAGCCGACGGCCAGAGUGUGUCAAAGUGGGAGCCCGCCGCGCUGCUCAGCCCUGGGGCCCUCCCCCCCACUCAGGCGGCCGACCGCCAGAGUGGCUCAAAGUGGCAGCCACCCGCGCUGCUCAGCUGUGGGGGCCCUCGCCCUCACUCUGGCGGCUGACCGCCAGUGUGGGUCAAAGUGCAGCCCGCCACGCUGCUCAGUCCUGGGGCCCUCCCCCCAAAUCAGGCGGCCGUCGCCCAGAGUGGGUCAAAGUGGGAGCCCGCCGCGCUGCUCAGCCCUGGGGGCCCUCUAUCCCACUCAGGCGGCAGACCCCCAGAGUGGGAAAAAGUGGCAGCCCGCCGCGCUGCUCAGCCCUGGGGGCCCCACCCCCACUCAAGCGGCCGACCGCCAGAGUGGGUCAAAGUGGCAACCCGCCGCGCUCCUCAGCCCUGGGGGCCUCCCCCCACUCAGGCAGCCGAAGGCCAGAGUGGGUCAAAGUGGCAGCCCGCCGCGCUGCUCAGCCCUGGGGGCCGCACGCACACUCAGGCGUUGGACCGCCAGAGUGGGUCAAAGUGGCAGCCCGCCGCGCUGCUCAGCCCUGGGGGCCCUCCUCACCCACUUAGGCGGCCGACCGCCAGAGUGGGUCAAAGUGGCAGCCCGCCAGGCUGCUCAGCCCUGGGGGCCCCACCCCCUAAUCAGGCGGCCGUAGCCCAGAGUGUGUCAAAGUGGGAGCCCGCCGCGCUGGUCAGCCCUGGGGGCCCCGAACCACACUAAGGCAGCUGACCGCCAGAGUGGGUCAAAGUGGCAGACCACCACGCUGCUCAGCCUUGGGCGCCGCAGCCCCACUCAGGCGGCAGACCGCCAGAGUGGGUCAAAGUGGCAGCCCGCCGUGCUACUCAGCCCUGGCGCCACCCCCAGCUUAGGCGGCAGAGCGCCAGUGUGGGUCAAAGUGGCAGACCACUGCGCUGCUCAGCCCUGGGGGCCCCACCCCCACUCAGGCGGCCGACCGCCAGAGUGGGUCAAAGUGGCAGACCACUGCGCUGCUCAGCCCUGGGGGCCCUACCACCACUCAGAGGGCCAACCGCCAGAGUGGGUCAACGUGGCAGCCCACCGCGCUGCUCAGCCCUGGGGGCCCUCCCCACCCACUCAGGCGACGGACGGCCAGAGUGGGUCAAAAUAGCAGCCCGCCGCACAGCUCAGCCCUGGGGGCGCCCAACGUAGUUGGCGGCCGACCGCCACAGUGGCUCAUAGAGGCAGCCUGCCGCGCUGCUCAGACCUGGGGGCCCCGACCCCCACUCAGGCGGCCC
rnacentral:lncRNA from 1 species